rnacentral:rRNA from 1 species
GGAGUUAGCCGGUGCUUCUUCUGUGAGUGAUGUCCUUCCUGCCGGCUAUUAACCCGCAGGCCUUCUUCCUCACUGAAAGUGCUUUACAACCCGAAGGCCUUCUUCACACACGCGGCAUGGCUGGAUCAGGGUUGCCCCCAUUGUCCAAUAUUCCCCACUGCUGCCUCCCGUAGGAGUCUGGGCCGUGUCUCAGCCCCAGUGUGGCUGAUCAUCCUCUCAGACCAGCUACGGAUCGUCGCCUUGGUGAGCCGUUACCUCACCAACCAGCUAAUCCGACAUAGGCUCAUCCGAUAGCGCGAGGCCCGAAGGUCCCCCGCUUUCCCCCGUAGGGCGUAUGCGGUAUUAGCCUGGGUUUCCCCAGGUUAUCCCCCACUACCGGGCAGAUUCCUAUGCAUUACUCACCCGUCCGCCGCUCGCCACCAGGGAGCAAGCUCCCCGUGCUGCCGCUCGACUUGCAUGUGUUAGGCCUGCCGCCAGCGUUCAAUCUGAGCCAUGAUCAAACUCUGA